rnacentral:misc_RNA from 1 species
GAAAUGCGAUAAGUAAUGUGAAUUGCAGAAUUCCGUGAAUCAUCGAAUCUUUGAACGCACAUUGCGCCCCCUG